GACGAACGCUGGCGGCGUGCCUAACACAUGCAAGUCGAGCGAACGGACGAGAAGCUUGCUUGUUUGACGUUUGGCGAGGACGGGAGUGAAACACGUGUAUAACCCACCUAUCAGAGUGGGAAAACUUCGAGAAAGCGGCGCUUAUCCCAGAGGAUCUUCUGAUCCGUAUGGGUCAAAAGUGAAAGACGGCCUUGCGGUCACGUCUCGAUGCAUAUGCGCUGCAUGAGCUAGUUGGUAAGGUAACGGCUUACCAAGGCAACGAUGCAUAGCCGACCUGAGAGGGUGGUAGGCCACACUGGAACUGAGACACGGACCAGGCUCCUACGGGAGGCAGCAGAAGGGAAUCGUACGCAGUGGGGGAAAGCCUGGCGGAACGACGCCGCGUGUGUUAUAGAGGUCUUCGGUGCGUAAAACCGUCUUAUUAGUUGUAAACAUAUGUGGAAGGAACUGUACCCAUCGUGACGGUACCUAAUCAGAAAGCCACGGCUAACUACGUG
rnacentral:rRNA from 1 species